rnacentral:rRNA from 1 species
GAUGAACGCUAGCGGGAGGCCUAACACAUGCAAGCCGAGCGGUAGAGUUUCUUCGGAAACUUGAGAGCGGCGCACGGGUGCGUAACACGUGUGCAACCUACCUUUAUCUGGGGGAUAGCCUUUCGAAAGGAAGAUUAAUACCCCAUAAUAUAAUGAUUGGCAUCAAUUAUUAUUGAAAACUCCGGUGGAUAGAGAUGGGCACGCGCAAGAUUAGAUAGUUGGUGAGGUAACGGCUCACCAAGUCAAUGAUCUUUAGGGGUCCUGAGAGGGAGAUCCCCCACACUGGUACUGAGACACGGACCAGACUCCUACGGGAGGCAGCAGUGAGGAAUAGUGGACAAGGGGUGAGAGCCUGAUCCAGCCAUCCCGCGUGAAGGAGGACGGUCCUAUGGAUUGUAAACUUCUUUUGUACAGGGAUAAACCUACCCUCGUGAGGGUAGCUGAAGGUACUGUACGAAUAAGCACCGGCUAACUCCGUG